CUCCUAAAGACUAAGCCAUGCAUGCCUUCGAAUAAGAGGAAGCAAUUCUCUCUGAAUCUGCGAACGGCUCCGCACACCAGUUGUAAACUAUAGCAAGCAAGCCCGGACUGGCCUCACGGCUGGGCCGGGCUAUAUGGAUAUCCCUGGUAAUUCUGAGGCUAAUACAUGAACGUAACACCCGGACGACCCGCAAGGGGAGGCCGGUGAACGUGCGAGUCAACACGGAUAACCAAGAAGGGGCGCACGUUAAGACCGCGCUACAAAGGAUCGGCCUGGCGCCUCCCCUCCGGGGGGGGAAGAGGGCUGGCCCCAGCGGCUCUUGCUGUGUGCUUCUGACCUAUCAACUAGACGGCAGUGUAAGGGACAUGCUAUGGUUACAACGGGUACAGAGGAUUAGGGUUCGAUCCUGGAGAGUGGGCCUGAGAGAUUGCUCAUACUUCUAAGGAAGGCAGCAGGCGCGCAACGUUCCCCUUGGGCAAUGCCCGAGGGCGUUAGGGGACAUAUGAAUGCCUGCCGUUAGGUGGGCAAUUCAAAUGGGUCUGUUCUAAACAGCCUAUCGAGUAACAAUU
rnacentral:rRNA from 1 species